ACGUCGCGGCCGGGCUGGCGUCCGGGCGCCCGCGCGCUCCCCACGAGAGCUCCGGAGCUGCCACCUGCCUGGACUGGUCGUUGCCCUAGCGACGGCGCGUUUGACCUAGCCGGGGGGAAACUGGGCUGGGAUGCGGUCCACGCCGCCCCAACCCCUACGUGAGCGGCCUUCAUCCAUGAAACCCUGGCACGCUACAGGAAAAGGAGCUUUUUCCAAGAAGGUCUCUUUCUGCAUGUCCGCUGCUUCGAAUACCACCUCUCUGGCCCCUGCUGGCGGAGGAGCUUUCAUCUCAUUGGCGAGAACUCAAGAACAGAUAGCAAAUUCACACAAUAUUGCAUUCCACACAGAAGCGUGAGCGAGGGGCGCUUGGGUGGCUCAGUCGGUUGAGCGUCUGCCUGCGGCUCAGGUUCUGUCAAAGCAAUCAUCAGUUCUGUGAACUGUGAAAGAAGAUUUAAAAUUAAGUGAGCAUUGUCACAGAGUCACUCUAGAGUCGAGAGCACACUGGGGAAGUAGGGCCUAGUUCAAGUCCAGGAACACCUCAAACUUUCGACUUCGUCAAUUGCAGCUUGUUAGUUUCAACUCCACCAUCUCCUCCACUUAACCUUCUACUUUGCAGUGAAAUGGAAGAUGUUAACACCUGACAGCUGGCUUACCUCUUCCAGGUGAUCUGCUCAGGCUCAGAUAACCUCACCUGAGGGCACAAACAGCUUCAUCCCUUGAGCAAUCAAGAGGCAAUUCAAAGGACUCGGAGCUUAUUUCUUCCAAACAGCCUAGGCAGCCCCCACGAGCCCAAGAAAAGAGAAGAUGUGGACAAGUGGUAGCUGACACCCCAGGGACAGCCUGGAAGCCACUGCCCCCUAAGGCCAGCCUCACACAGCUCCCAUCUGGGGAUUCAUCUCCCAGGAAGGCCUGGCCCAGGGUGAGUGAGGACCAUAUAGUAUCUCUCCUCCUGGAAGGAAAGUCUGGUCAAUACACCUAGGAACGUUCAGGCUUGGAGGAGAACUAAGGAGGCAGCACAACCCUCCAUCACUUUUACUUUAUGGCUUAUCUCUGAACUCUGGCAAAAGAGCCUGCAGCCAAAGCAUCCCCUGGGAAACCGAAACUACCGGCUCGAGCAAUGACGUCCCUGAGCCAGGAAGACCCCACCUGUGACUGACCCCAAGACAAUGAUGACCUGACCUAUACUGCCCACCUGCAGGUGCCCUCCGACCUUCGUCCCACAUUUUCCUUGAGGAAACCUAGAAGUAUUUUGGGCACUUUGGAGACAGUCUUGAGACGUUAGUCUGCUAUCUUCCCGGUGUCGGCCUCGCUGAAAUAAAUCC